CUCUUCGGGGAUGAUUAAACCGGCGCACGGGUGAGUAACACGUGAGUGACCUGCCUUUUAGACUGGAACAACUUACCGAAAGGUGAGCUAAUGCCGGAUGAGUUAUAUAAGUGCAUGUUUAUAUAGGAAAAGUUGGGGAGACCUGACGCUGAAAGAUGGACUCGCGUCCCAUUAGCUAGUUGGUAGGGUAAUGGCCUACCAAGGCGACGAUGGGUAGCCGGCCUGAGAGGGUGGCCGGCCACACUGGGACUGAGACACGGCCCAGACUCCUACGGGAGGCAGCAGUGGGGAAUUUUGCGCAAUGCUCGUAAGAGUGACGCAGCGACGCCGCGUGAAUGACGAAGGCCUUCGGGUCGUAAAGUUCUUUCGACAGGGAAGAAAAUGCCUAUAAGUAACUGUGUAUGUAUUGACGGUACCUGUAUAAGCAGCCCCGGCUAACUCCGUGCCAGCAGCCGCGGUAAUACGGAGGGGGCGAGCGUUGUUCGGAGUGACUGGGCGUAAAGAGCACGUAGGCGGUGUUGUAAGUCAUUAGUCAAAGACUAGAGCUCAACUUUAGUAAGGCUAGUGAUACUAUAAUACUAGAGUAUCAGAGAGGAUUGCAGAAUUCCUGGUGUAGCGGUGAAAUGCGUAGAUAUCAGGAGGAAUACCGUUAGCGAAGGCGGCAAUCUGGCUGGAAACUGACGCUGAGGUGCGAAAGCGUGGGUAGCAAACAGGAUUAGAUACCCUGGUAGUCCACGCUGUAAACGAUGGAUGCUAGGUGUUGGGCUUUU
rnacentral:rRNA from 1 species